rnacentral:rRNA from 1 species
UUCGAUGCAACGCGAAGAACCUUACCUGGUCUUGACAUCCCGGAGACCCUUAGGAAACUAGGGGUGCUUCCAUCUGGAAGAAUCUGGAGACAGGUGCUGCAUGGCUGUCGUCAGCUCGUGUCGUGAGAUGUUGGGUUAAGUCCCGCAACGAGCGCAACCCUUGCCUUUAGUUGCCAGCAGUUCGGCUGGGCACUCUAAAGGGACUGCCGGUGUUAAACCGGAGGAAGGUGGGGAUGACGUCAAGUCCUCAUGGCCUUUAUGACCAGGGCUACACACGUACUACAAUGGCCGAUACAAAGGGCAGCGACACUGCGAGGUGAAGCCAAUCCCGUAAAAUCGGUCUCAGUCCGGAUUGGAGUCUGCAACUCGACUUCAUGAAGUUGGAAUCGCUAGUAAUCGUGGAUCAGCAUGCCACGGUGAAUACGUUCCCGGGCCUU